CUCCUCUCAGGGUCACACCUGGCGAGUUUCCAGUACUCUGCCAGUCUUGACUGUGGGAGGGAGAGUCAAGCAGAAGUAUAUCCACUCCAUUCCUAGCUUGGGCGGUGGCUAGCGAGUGGAAGGCAAUCUGCUACAAGU